rnacentral:rRNA from 1 species
UGCGUAGGGUGCAGGCGUUAAUCGGAAUUACUGGGCGUAAAGCGUGCGCAGGCGGUCUUUUAAGUCAGAUGUGAAAUCCCCGGGCUUAACCUGGGAACUGCGUUUGAAACUGGAAGGCUAGAGUGUGGCAGAGGGGGGUGGAAUUCCACGUGUAGCAGUGAAAUGCGUAGAUAUGUGGAGGAACACCGAUGGCGAAGGCAGCCCCCUGGGCUAACACUGACGCUCAUGCACGAAAGCGUGGGGAGCAAACAGG